UACAGAGGUCUCAAGCGUUGUUCGGAUUCAUUGGGCGUAAAGGGUGCGUAGGCGGCGCGGUAAAGUCGGGUGUGAAAUCUUGGAGCUUAACUCCGAAACUGCAUUCGAUACUGCCGUGCUUGAGGACUGGAGAGGAGACUGGAAUUUACGGUGUAGCGGUGAAAUGCGUAGAUAUCGUAAGGAAGACCAGUGGCGAAGGCGGGUCUCUGGACAGUUCCUGACGCUGAGGCACGAAGGCCAGGGGAGCAAACGGG
rnacentral:rRNA from 1 species